rnacentral:misc_RNA from 1 species
GUAGGUGAACCUGCGGAGGGAUCAUUACAGAGAACAUCGCCCUCACGGGUGACUCUCCAACCCUAUGUUAUUAAAACCUUUGUUGCUUUGGCGAGCCGCUUCGGCCACCGGCUUCUGCUGGUGUGCGCUCGCCAGAGGACCACAAACUCUGUUUAUUAGUGUCGUCUGAGUACUAUAUAAUAGUUAAAACUUUCAACAACGGAUCUCUUGGUUCUG